GCAUGCCUCGACCUGCAUCUAGUCGCGCGUGCCAUGACGGUCGAGGCCACAUGGCACGUCGAGGCCUGUAGGUGAUGAUGCCUUUGUUACUUCCGGCAACCAGGGAUGUAAGCUACUGCGGCCAUUCCCAUGUGUACGAGAUGCAUGUGGCGCACAGACCAGCCUCCCGCCCAGCCGCCGUGACAUGUGGCCACCUAGCACUUCUACGCCCCAUGCUUUUCUGUUGUUCCCCUGUACUGUAUCUAGAUCAAGCGUUGAUUCCUCCCCCCUGUCCAGUUCUGUAUUGUUUGUAAGUAAUUUUGAUGUCUGAAGUUCAGCUAUACGUGCAGGUGCAAAAAACUAAUGUUUUCCGUUGGUUUUAGUUUCACAGGUCCUUCAGAAAAAUGGGAAAAGGGGUUUUCUUCCAUAUUUAUCUACAAAAUGUAUCAAUGCCUCUGUUUAUAGGAGGCACGGAGAUGUUUCCUGGACGGAUGUGCAAUCUGGUUUAAAUGGGCGAUGGCACAAAAUUAGGCCUUUUAGGUGUGGGAAUGGCACUCUUCGCCAUGAUCGCCAUGAGGAAAAUCUACAACCUACUAAAAGUUCAGCUGGUGCUUGUGUGUUCACAUGAAGACAGGAAUUGUGUGAGGGAGUAGAAAAGAAAAUUGUGGUAGAGAACAUGCCAUAGGCGUGGGUAAGUUGUGAUGUGAGGAAAUGCAUACACAUGUGUAUACAUUCCAAUUCUGCACUCAUAUGUACUCCUGCUUUUUUUGACACAAAAAUGUGCUCCUGCUAAGACAGAGAAACUACAUGUACUUCUGUAUUUAUGCUUAAAAAAUCACUGAAAAAACCAGCCCUAUUGAGUGCUC